rnacentral:rRNA from 1 species
UGCUGAUUUUGGCUUUCCUUUCCCCACCAAGUCUCCAUGGGUCUUGUCCUUCUGGGCCUGGGACUACUCACUUUGCGUAUUACCAUGAGCAAAUGCUCCUGUUUAAACUAUGCUUUUCAACUUGAACGUGUUAUAAUAGGAAUAAUGAAAUAUGACCCAUGGUCUAUUUUUCUGGUUUUGAGACCCAGAUUAAUGAUGAAUAGGAGUGGUCGGGGGCAUUUGUAUUUCGAGCGCUAAUUCUGAAAUUCUUGGAUUGCCAGAUAACAAACUACUGCUAAAGCAUUUGACCCAGGACAUCUCCAUUGAUCAAGGGCUAAGAUUGAGGGAUCGAAGACGAUUACAUACCCUUAACUAUCUUAACCACCCAACAUGCCAACUAAAGAUCGGGCUUGACUAAGGAGGCUUGCUAGGGAUUUUAGCGAAAGCAAAGGCACCUUGUUAGAGGGGGAAUACGGCUGGCAAGGGGGGAAGUUAAGGGAAAUGACGGAAGGGCACCACCAGGAGUGGAACGGCACCACCAAUGGGAGUCCACACGGGGAAACUCACCAGGUCCAGACGUACUCAGGAUUGACAGAUUGCAAGCUCGUUUGAGAGAGUAUGGGUGGUGGUGCAUGGCCGUUCUUAGUUCGUGGAGUGAUUUGUCUGGUUAAUUCCGAUAACGAACGAGACCUUAUUUUGCGAAAUAGACAGACUCAUUUUAAAAAGCCCGGAAGGCUUCGCAGUUUGCCUGUUUUUAGAGAGACUAUCGU